UACGAGGGGGGCGAGCGUUGUUCGGAAUUAUUGGGCGUAAAGGGUGCGUAGGCGGUUCGGUAAGUCUCAUGUGAAAUCUACAGGCUCAACUUGUAGUCUGCAUGAGAAACUGCCGGGCUUGAGUAUGGGAGAGGUGAGUGGAAUUCCUGGUGUAGCGGUGAAAUGCGUAGAUAUCAGGAGGAACACCGGUGGUGUAGACGGCUUUCUGGACCGUAACUGACGCUGAGACACGAAAGCGUGGGUAGCAAACAGG
rnacentral:rRNA from 1 species